rnacentral:rRNA from 1 species
AUUGAACGCUGGCGGCAUGCCUUACACAUGCAAGUCGAACGGCAGCACGGGGCAACCUGGUGGCGAGUGGCGAACGGGUGAGUAAUGCAUCGGAACGUACCUUUCAGUGGGGGAUAACGUAGCGAAAGUUACGCUAAUACCGCAUAUUCUGUGAGCAGGAGAGCAGGGGAUCGCAAGACCUUGCGCUGAUUGAGCGGCCGAUGUCAGAUUAGCUAGUUGGUGAGGUAAAGGCUCACCAAGGCGACGAUCUGUAGCGGGUCUGAGAGGAUGAUCCGCCACACUGGAACUGAGACACGGUCCAGACUCCUACGGGAGGCAGCAGUGGGGAAUUUUGGACAAUGGGGGCAACCCUGAUCCAGCCAUGCCGCGUGAGUGAAGAAGGCCUUCGGGUUGUAAAGCUCUUUCGGCCGGGAAGAAAUCGCGCGGGCUAAUACCCUGUGUGGAUGACGGUACCGGAAUAAGAAGCACCGGCUAACUACGUGCCAGCAGCCGCCGUAAGAC